GCAGGAAGUGGUCCAGCAAGAUUUCGGAGAAAAACGUUCGGGGGGAAGGAACGGCGAGGCACUUGCAGAGUUACAGACGGGAAUCAGAACCCAAAUUGACGCCAAUUGAUCUAUCUCCCCUCUUUAAUUACUCCUGGGGCAUCUUUCCUUUUUUUUUUUUACCCCUCCUUAGCUUUUUGCGCGCUCUUUUAUCAGUUUGCUCCCACCCCACGUAACAGGGGGGCAGUGACCAAGGACGAGGAACACACAGUCACCACCGUCACCGCGGCCCUGCCGCCAUCCUGCCCUCCGCCAUUUAUCGCCCUGUUUUUGAUUUUUUUUUUUUUUUUAAUCUGUCCCUGUCGCUUGGGUUGAGUGGAGAGUGGAGCCUCUGUGGGGGUGUUGGCCACUGUGCCCCCCAGAGAAGUCAGGGGAAUGGAGACGGCCGCUGCCUGGCCUGGCCCCCGGGGGACGGUGGCUGGUCCCCCGGGGGUUCUGAGGGGCGGAGGAGGGGGCGGGGAGGCGUCUCUCCAGGUGUCAGGAAGGUGGCCGCCUUCCGAGCACUUGGGGAGGCUCCCCCCGUACCCCUCGGGGACAGCUUGCCCGCCUCCUCAGCGCCCCGUCUUGCCCCCAGGAAGCUCAGAGCUCCGCGGGGCUUCCUGGCGUCCAGGCGGGGUGAGGUUGGGUGGUAGGAGAGGCCGGGAGAGCCGGGCCCUGCAGAGCAGAAGAGCUGCGCAGUUUUCUGAGCGCUGGGCCCCGGUGACGGGGCUGGCACGGCCCAGGGGGCGGCUGUGCCAGUCCACCCCAGACACAGCGGGCAGCUCUCCGUGGGUCAGCUCCAUCCCGACCCGGGGCCCCUUCCGACCUCCGCGCCCAGCUUGUGGCCCUCCAUCCUGUCUCUUCCCCAAGUCCCGCAGCUGUCUUCAGCGGGACCCCCUCUCGGGUCUCUGAGCCAUCACGCGAGGACCCCCACGCGCAGAACACCUAGAAUCAUCGUGUCCGCCGCCCCAUCCACCGCGCGGCUGUGUUCUCCUCCUCUCGCCCGUAACCUGCUGUUUCUGGCAGAAUCCACAGCCUGGGUUUUGUCUUUAACCUUUAUCGCUCGCAAUCCCAAUAAAGCAUUUAAAAUUAUUUUUUCUGAGUCCUCUGCUCUUUCGUUGGGGUACCUGGUCGGGGGAGGGAGGGGAAGUCUGAGUCCUGGGAAGGGGGUGGGAUAGGAAGAGGGGGUAGGGAGGGGGUAGGGAGACCCUCAGGGGACACCUCUCUGGGCCCUCACAGCGAUGGGGUGUAGGGAGAACCACCAGACGGCCUGCUGCCCUUGGCAGUUGGGAGGGGGCUCCGGGGCCAUCUCAAGGCCCAGAUCCUCAGAGUUCAGGGGUGGGCAGGGUCCUGGGGGCUUCUGCAGGAGCCCACUAAUGAGGAGCAAAGAGCCUUCACUGUCGGUCAACCCCAGGGAACUCUCCCAACCUCGGGGGACAGGGUGUAGGGGGUCAGUCAGGCUCUGAAAGCUUCUGGACGCUGUUGCCAUUGCCAGAGAUGGAGACCCAGGGCUGCUCACAUCUGGAGACUCUCAUCACCUGUGUGCCCACCUGCAUGAGCAGACGGGAACCCCUGCCCCCAGGACAGAAGCCCUCCCCCGCUUGGCCCUGCACCAGCACCCAGACCCCUCUGACUUCUAAGUACCCACGCUCCUCGGAAGACAGUGAGGCUGGCCUAGAAAUGCUUGAGGGCUGGCCACCCUCCCCCGCUUAUGUACCCCCAUGCCCUUGGUCAGCAGGGCCGCCGGUGGGCAGAGGGCAGUGGCUGGGCCUGGUGCCGGGCAGCCUCCGGUGGGCAACCAGGGCUCUCUGCCGCAUCUGGGUCGGGGAGGCCUUGCACGUAAACCCACUCGCUCCUUCUCUGACAUUUACCGCUUGGCCUGGUGCUGAGCUGUGGCCUCGGGGGUCUCGAAGGGUGUCUCCAGGGGUGGCCACGCUGCCCAUGCCCACUGAGAGCUCAGUGUGGUGGGGGGGAGCUGCC
rnacentral:lncRNA from 1 species